GACGAACGCUGGCGGCGUGCUUAACACAUGCAAGUCGAACGGAAAGGCCCCCUUGUGGGGUACUCGAGUGGCGAACGGGUGAGUAACACGUGAGUAACCUACCCUUGACUUUGGGAUAACUUCAGGAAACUGGGGCUAAUACCGGAUAGGAGCUCCUGCUGCGUGGUGGGGGUUGGAAAGUUUCGGCGGUUGGGGAUGGACUCGCGGCUUAUCAGCUUGUUGGUGGGGUAGUGGCUCACCAAGGCUUUGACGGGUAGCCGGCCUGAGAGGGUGACCGGCCACAUUGGGACUGAGAUACGGCCCAGACUCCUACGGGAGGCAGCAGUGGGGAAUAUUGCACAAUGGGCGGAAGCCUGAUGCAGCAACGCCGCGUGCGGGAUGACGGCCUUCGGGUUGUAAACCGCUUUCGCCUGUGACGAAGCGUGAGUGACGGUAAUGGGUAAAGAAGCACCGGCUAACUACGUG
rnacentral:rRNA from 1 species